UAAGGUCUUGGUCCCAAACCUAGUAUUACCUGUAACCCUGAUUAUACAUGCAAGCCUCAACACAACAGUGAAACAGGCCCACCCAACCUUCACACUACAAAAGGAGCCGGCAUCAGGUCCAACACCAUUACCCAUGACGCCAAGCACGUGCCACACCCACACGGGUAACAGCAGUAAUUAAUAUUGGGCAAUAAGUGCAAACUUGACCCAGCAAGAGUCAACACAGAGUCGGUCAAUCUCGUGCCAGCGACCGCGGUUAUACGAUAGACUCAAGAUAAUACCAACGGCGUAAAGAAUGACUAGAAACCACCUCCCAUUAAGGACGAAGCAAAUCCAGGCCGUAAAACACCAUAAGCCAAACUAAGCACACAACCUUAAACACUUCAACUCAUGAAAAUUAGGACACAAACUAGGAUUAGAUACCCUACUAUGCCUAAUAGUAACACGGCAACUAAAAACAAAGCUGCCCGCCAAACCACUACGAGUGAAAACUUAAAACUUAAAAGACUUGACGGUACUUCACACUCAACCUAGAGGAGCCUGUCUACUAACCGAUAAUCCACGAUUAACCCGACCACCCCUGGCCACCCAGCCUAUAUACCGCCGUCGCCAGCCUACCUUGUGAAAGAAACCAAGUAAGCCAAAUAGUAACACACUAACACGACAGGUCGAGGUGUAGCUAAUGAGGUGGACCAAGAUGGGCUACAUUUUCUAACACAGACAAUACAGACAAGCUAUGAAACCAACUCCAAAAGGCGGAUUUAGAAGUAAGCCAAGAACACAAUACUUAGCUGAAACAUGCAAUGAAGUGCGUACACACCGCCCGUCAUCCCUGUCUCAACAAACUCACCUAUACAUAACACACCAUCAACACACAAACAGGGCAAGUCGUAACACGGUAAGCGUACUGGAAAGUGCGCUUAGAAA
rnacentral:ncRNA from 1 species